AUUCAGCUGACGAGUCCUAAAUAGGACGAAACACACGUCCUGGAU
rnacentral:hammerhead_ribozyme from 1 species